GAUGAACGCUAGCGGGAGGCUUAACACAUGCAAGUCGAGGGGUAUUCCGGUAACACGGGAGAGACCGGCGGACGGGUGGCGUAACGCGUAUGCAACCUACCUUAUGCUGGAGGAUAGGCUUCGGAAACGGGGAUUAAUACUUCAUAAGCCUUAUGAUUUGCAUGAGUUAUAAGGGAAAGCUUAGGUGGCAUAAGAUGGGCAUGCGUCUGAUUAGCUUGAUGGUAAGGUAACGGCUUACCAUUGCAAUGAUCAGUAGGGGUCCUGAGAGGGAGGUCCCCCACACUGGUACUGAGAUACGGACCAGACUCCUACGGGAGGCAGCAGUGAGGAAUAUUGGGCAAUGGGCGGAAGCCUGACCCAGCCAUUCCGCGUGCAGGAAGAAGGCCUUAUGGGUUGUAAACUGCUUUUCUGCGGGGAGAAAAGCUCCAAUGCGUUGGGGAAUGACGGUACCGCAGGAAUAAGCAUCGGCUAACUCCGUG
rnacentral:rRNA from 1 species